UUUAUUGGAGAGUUUGAUCCUGGCUCAGGAUGAACGCUGGCGGCGUGCCUAAUACAUGCAAGUCGAGCGAAUGGAUUGAGAGCUUGCUCUCAAGAAG
rnacentral:rRNA from 1 species